rnacentral:misc_RNA from 1 species
AAGUCAUAACAAGGUUUCCGUAGGUGAACCUGCGGAAGGAUCAUUUUUAAAUGAAUGAACAACCACACACUGUGAACCGGCUCCGGCCAUCAAACUUGAAUGUAAAGAAUGUAAUAGUAACAAAAUUAAUACAA